UUAUCUUAAAGCAAAGCACUGAAAAUGCUUAGAUGGAUGCAAGCAUCCCA
rnacentral:tRNA from 1 species